GAAUAAUGCCAGCUGCCGGCUGUCUGUAGAAGACUGAAUGAUCACAUUUGCUCUUCUUCAACCCAAACUCCUGAGCUACUUCACUGAACUUGCCAAACCAGGCACGGGGACUCUGUUUUAGACCAUACAGAGAUUUCUUCAGAUGACAGACUUUCCCAUACUCCCCCUGAGCAACAAAUCCAGGUGGUUGCUCCAUAUACACCUCUUCCUGGAGAUCACCAUGAAGGAAUGCAUUCUUGAUAUCCAAUUGGUGUAAGGGCCAAUCUUGGGAUGCAGCAAUGGAUAUAAAUAGGCGGACAGAGGUAAGUUUGGCAACCGGAGAGAAGGUAUCCGAAUAAUCCACUCCAUAAGUCUGAGCAAAUCCUUUUGCAACAAGUCUGGCUUUAAGUCUUGCUACAGAACCAUCUGGAUUGACCUUGACAGCAAAGACCCAUUUGCAUCCCACAGCUUUCUUGCCUUUAGGCAGAUCUACCAACUCCCAUGUGUGAUUUUCAUCUAGAGCGUUUAUCUCCUCAAACAUUGCAUUCUUCCAACCAGGAUGACUCAAGGCUUCUUUUACUGUUCUAGGCACAGAGAUUGAAUCUAAAGAGGUAAUUAAAGAACAAGACGCAGGAGACAGAUGGUCGUAAGAAAUGAAGUUAGCGAUGGGAUAAAUAGAUUUAGGGAGAGUACACUGGCGUUUACCUUUGCGAAGACUAAUGGGAAGGUCAAGGUCGUUUGGAGAAUCAGAUGACGAAGUAGCCGGUGCAGGACAUAUAUCAUUGGUCUCUUGCCUUCUGGAAUAAACGUGGAUAACAGGUGGCUUUACUUGAGUAGGAGGUUGCUCAUUAGAUGUUCCGGGAGAUGUGAGAGAAGCGCCAUCAUCUGAUUGCUCAAUAGGAGCACUUGGAUGUGUGAUUUGGUAGAUUAGCCACUCAUCUUUCUCUCCCUGACUUGUAGAGAUGGAGGGAGAGGAGAAGAAUGGUGUAUUUUCUGAAAAGAUCACAUCAGUAGAAACUAGGUAUUUAUGGAGAUCAGGUGAGUAGCAUCGAUACCCUUUUUGAAGACGAGAAUAUCCUAGAAAAGCACACUUCAAGGCUUUUGGAUCCAGUUUAGUAACGGAUGGCCUUACAUCACGAACGUAACAGGUGCUUCCAAAUACCCGUGGUUCCACUGGAAAUAGUGACUUGUUUGGAAAUAGAAUACUAUAUGGAAUAUCCCCGUUAAGUACUGUAGAUGGCAUGCGAUUAAUCAGAAAACAUGCUGUAGAGACGGCAUCGGCCCAGAACUGCUUAGGAACCUUCGUUUGAAACAGAAGAGCUCGAGCUGUUUCAAGUAGAUGUCUAUUCUUUCUCUCAGCAACUCCAUUUUGAGAAGGAGUAUCAAUACAAGAGGAUUGAUGAAUAAUCCCAUGUUGAGUCAUGUAAGUCUGGAAUGAGUCUGACAUAUAUUCUUUUGCAUUAUCACUUCUUAGUAUAUGCACAGAAGUAUUAAAUUGGGUUUUAAUUUCAGCAUAAAAGGCACAAAAAUGAGAGAACACUUCAGAUCGAUUUUUCAUAAAGUAAAUCCAUGUCAUUCGAGAAAAAUCAUCCACAAAAGUAAUAAAAUAUCUAAACCCAGUUUUAGACACAACAGGACAUGGUCCCCAAACGUCAGAAUGAACCAACUCAAAAGCAGACUCAGCUCGUUUAUUAAUUCUCGGACCUAAUGAGCUACGGUGAUGUUUUGCAAAAUGACAUGGCUCACAAUCUAGUGAAGAUACAUCGUUGAACUGAGGGCAUAGUUUCUUCAAUGUAGACAGAGAUGGAUGUCCCAACUGACAAUGUGCUAUAACUGGGGAGCUGGUACUGGAACAAGCAACUGAUCGAGGCACCCACGUAUCAAGAAUAUAGAGACCAUCAGAUACAUGUCCUUUACCAAUAAUCUGCUUCGUCAUAAGAUCCUGAAAAAGGCAAUGAUCAGGAAAGAAUGAGAUACAACAAUUAAGAUCCUUGGUAAGUCUACUUACAGAGAUCAAAUUAAAAGCAAGUUUUGGUAGACUCAGAACAGAUGACAAGGUAAUAGAGGAAGUUGGUUUAACAGUCCCAGAUCCCACAAUGUUAUAGGUUGACCCAUCAGCUAUGGUAACAGGAGAGGGAGCUUUGUGUGAUCGAAAGCUAGAGAAGGUACUAGAAUUACCUGUCAUGUGAUCUGUGGCUCCUGAAUCAAUUACCCAUUUCUUUGAAGAGGAGAUAAGACAUGUUUUACCUGACUCAGCAAGGGCAGUAACUGGAGGGGAUUCCUUUAGUGAUUCUUGAUACUGAGAGAAUUUGGCAUACUCAUCACCUGAUAUCAUAACAGUUUUCUCAAAAGAUGAACUAGGAGCAGCAGCAACAUUGGCGGUCUGAGUUCUCUGAUUGCGAUUUUGCAAUUUCCUACAGUAUGGCUUGGUGUGGCCUGGUUCAUGGCAGUAGUAGCACACAAUGCUGCUUGAAUCAUAGUUACGGUUAUCAGUAUUCUUGUUUCCUCUUCCCCUAUUGUUGGGCCUCCUUGCAUAGUAAUUUCCCCCUCCUUUGGUAACAAGAACAUUAUUUUGCUGAAUAGGUGAUGUAUUUUCAGUGCGUAGAACUCUACUGAAGACGUCUUGAAGAGAGGGAAUUUCAGAGCUAGAGAGAAUUUGAGAUUUGGAAGUCUCGAAUUCAGGAGGAAGACCAGCCAGGAAGCUCAUAACCGCCAUUUGCUCCCUUUGAAUUUGCUGAAUUUUGACAUCAGUGCUGAAUGGCAAUAGCAUAUUAAGUUCUUCAUACGUCCUUUUGAAGUCCAUGAAAUAAGUUGUGAGGGACUUGGUUUCCUUUUCAGCACGGUAAAAAGCCCUACAAACUUCAUAAAUUCUUGACACAUUUCCUU
rnacentral:lncRNA from 1 species